GAUAUUUUUAGUUACGAAGAAGUCAAGAAGGUCGGGUAUUGUUAGUGUCAGUGGGCCAGUAUGUGGGUUCGUAUGUGGUAAGGUAGUUGAGGUUGUUGGUUAUUAUGCUGUUUAAGAGGUUUUUACCCCUUGCUGUGACCAGUCUGCUGCCCCAUUGGAUGUACUUGGCGUUAUAGUCUCCUCCAGCUAUGAAUCUAUUGCCCAGGGUGUCCAGGAAGUGAUCAAAGUCUUCUUUGGCGAUGGAGUGUCUGGGAGGGCAG